UGGGGAAUAUUGCGCAAUGGGGGAAACCCUGACGCAGCAACGCCGCGUGGGUGACGAAGGUCUUCGGAUUGUAAAACCCUGUCUUCUGGGACGAUAAUGACGGUACCAGAGGAGGAAGCCACGGCUAACUACGUGCCAGCAGCCGCGGUAAUACGUAGGUGGCGAGCGUUGUCCGGAUUUACUGGGCGUAAAGGAUGCGUAGGCGGAUCUUUAAGUGGGAUGUGAAAUACCCGGGCUCAACUUGGGUGCUGCAUUCCAAACUGGGGAUCUAGAGUGCAGGAGAGGUAAGUGGAAUUCCUAGUGUAGCGGUGAAAUGCGUAGAGAUUAGGAAGAACACCAGUGGCGAAGGCGACUUACUGGACUGUAACUGACGCUGAGGCAUGAAAGCGUGGGUAGCAAA
rnacentral:rRNA from 1 species